GCUAACAUGCAGUCGACGGGAUCCCUGGCAGCUUGCUGCCGGGGUGAGAGUGGCGAACGGGUGAGUAAUGCGUGACCGACCUGCCCCAUGCACCGGAAUAGCUCCUGGAAACGGGUGGUAAUGCCGGAUGUUCCACAUGAGCGCAUGCGAGUGUGGGAAAGGCUUUUUGCGGCAUGGGAUGGGGUCGCGUCCUAUCAGCUUGUUGGUGGGGUAACGGCCUACCAAGGCGUUGACGGGUAGCCGGCCUGAGAGGGCGACCGGCCACAUUGGGACUGAGAUACGGCCCAGACUCCUACGGGAGGCAGCAGUGGGGAAUAUUGCACAAUGGGCGCAAGCCUGAUGCAGCGACGCCGCGUGCGGGAUGGAGGCCUUCGGGUUGUAAACCGCUUUUGUUCAAGGGCAAGGCACGGUCUUUGGCCGUGUUGAGUGGAUUGUUCGAAUAAGCACCGGCUAACUACGUGCCAGCAGCCGCGGUAAUACGUAGGGUGCAAGCGUUAUCCGGAUUUAUUGGGCGUAAAGGGCUCGUAGGCGGUUCGUCGCGUCCGGUGUGAAAGUCCAUCGCUUAACGGUGGAUCCGCGCCGGGUACGGGCGGGCUUGAGUGCGGUAGGGGAGACUGGAAUUCCCGGUGUAACGGUGGAAUGUGUAGAUAUCGGGAAGAACACCAAUGGCGAAGGCAGGUCUCUGGGCCGUUACUGACGCUGAGGAGCGAAAGCGUGGGGAGCGAACAGGAUUAGAUACCCUGGUAGUCCACGCCGUAAACGGUGGAUGCUGGAUGUGGGGCCCUUUUUCCGGGUCCUGUGUCGGAGCUAACGCGUUAAGCAUCCCGCCUGGGGAGUACGGCCGCAAGGCUAAAACUCAAAGAAAUUGACGGGGGCCCGCACAAGCGGCGGAGCAUGCGGAUUAAUUCGAUGCAACGCGAAGAACCUUACCUGGGCUUGACAUGUGCCGGACGCCCGCGGAGACGCGGGUUCCCUUCGGGGCCGGUUCACAGGUGGUGCAUGGUCGUCGUCAGCUCGUGUCGUGAGAUGUUGGGUUAAGUCCCGCAACGAGCGCAACCCUCGCCGCGUGUUGCCAGCGGGUCAUGCCGGGAAACUCACGUGGGAACCGCCGGGGUUAACUCCGAAGGAAAGGGGGGGAAUGACGUCAAAAUCAUCAUGGCCCCUU
rnacentral:rRNA from 1 species